AAGUAGUCAUAAUACUGGCGGAUAAUUAUGGAGUUAACCAUAGGGGAUUAUGACUUAUAUAAUAAAUUAGCCGACCGCCUGGGCAGAUAGU
rnacentral:ncRNA from 2 species